GAAAAACACAAGACACUGCCUCUGCCUCUGCAUCUGUCCUUUGCUUUUUGCCUGGAAACUAUCACAUCAAAUCACAUUGAGAUCAGUAUCCCAACAGCAGUGCCUGGUAAGACGGUGAGGCUAUUCCCACUCCCAGCAUCCUCUGUUCUCUUCUGGACGAACCCAGUUAUUCAAUCCCUGAGCUUCCUCAUGUGGUUCUGGUAAAUCCACUUUUUGCUUAGUUCCUACUUAGCUCUCACUGGCAAACUAUCAGUAGAAGAAGCCUGGUUUCUUUCUCUGCUGGUGUUGGCAUCUCCCUGCUUUCUUCCUUUCAAAUGAUGGUAUUAGAUCUGUCUUUCUCUACUACAAGCUGCAAUGCCCCUGUUACAGAAAAAAAAGAUUUGAGGAGACAGCUUGAAGCACCAUUGUUGUUUUCUUAGGAGUUCUCUGUAAAAUUUGUCAUGGUAUAUGAUCUUAAAAAUUAAAAACAAAAUUUACUGAAAAA
rnacentral:lncRNA from 1 species